rnacentral:rRNA from 1 species
AACGAACGCUGGCGGCAGGCUUAACACAUGCAAGUCGAACGCCCUGCAAGGGGAGUGGCAGACGGGUGAGUAACGCGUGGGAAUCUACCCAGUUCUACGGAACAACACAGGGAAACUUGUGCUAAUACCGUAUACGCCCUAAGGGGGAAAGAUUUAUCGGAAUUGGAUGAGCCCGCGUUGGAUUAGCUAGUUGGUGGGGUAAUGGCCUACCAAGGCGACGAUCCAUAGCUGGUCUGAGAGGAUGAUCAGCCACACUGGGACUGAGACACGGCCCAGACUCCUACGGGAGGCAGCAGUGGGGAAUAUUGGACAAUGGGCGCAAGCCUGAUCCAGCCAUGCCGCGUGAGUGAUGAAGGCCUUAGGGCUGUAAAGCUCUUUCAGUAGGGACGAUAAUGACGGUACCUACAGAAGAAGCCCCGGCUAACUUCGUGCCAGCAGCCGCCGCGA